rnacentral:rRNA from 1 species
CCAAGGAGUCUAACAUGUGCGCAAGUCAUUGGGUUAUAAAACCUAAAGGCGUAACAAAAGUAAAGUAAGCUUUGCUUUAUUAGGGAGGAUAGUUGUUAUUUAUUAAUAGCUCGCACUCCCGGGGCGUUAAUAAUUCAUUGCGAAUUAAGGCGCACCUAGAGCGUACAUGUUGGGACCCGAAAGAUGGUGAACUAUGCCUGGUCAGGAUGAAGCCAGGGGAAACCCUGGUGGAGGUCCGUAGCGAUUCUGACGUGCAAAUCGAUCGUCAGAGCUAGGUAUAGCGGCGUUAGACCAAUCGAACCAUCUAGUAGCUGGUUCCCUCCGAAGUUUCCCUCAGGAUAGCUGGUGCCAAUGAUGAUUUUGAGUCUCAUCUGGUAAAGCGAAUGAUUAGAGGUCUUGGGGUUGAAACGACCUCAACCUAUUCUCAAACUUUAAAUGGAUGAGAACUUUGGCUUUCUUAAAAAUGAAGCCAAGGAUUCGGAUCUAGGUACCAAGUGGGCCAAUUUUGG